rnacentral:tRNA from 1 species
GUGUGUGUAAUUUAAAAAAAAUAUCAAGUUGUGACCCUGAAAAUAAAUACCCCUCGCACACC